rnacentral:rRNA from 1 species
UCGAAAUGCCAAAGAUUUAUCGCUGAAAGAUGGCCUCGCGUCUGAUUAGAUAGUUGGCGGGGUAACGGCCCACCAAGUCGACGAUCAGUAGCCGGACUGAGAGGUUGACCGGCCACAUUGGGACUGAGAUACGGCCCAGACUCCUACGGGAGGCAGCAGUGGGGAAUAUUGGGCAAUGGGCGCAAGCCUGACCCAGCAACGCCGCGUGAAGGAAGAAGGCUUUCGGGUUGUAAACUUCUUUUAAGUGGGAAGAGUAGAAGACGGUACCACUUGAAUAAGCCACGGCUAACUACGUGCCAGCAGCCGCGGUAAUACGUAGGUGGCAAGCGUUGUCCGGAUUUACUGGGUGUAAAGGGCGUGCAGCCGGGCAUGCAAGUCAGAUGUGAAAUCUCAGGGCUUAACCCUGAAACUGCAUUUGAAACUGUAUGUCUUGAGUGCCGGAGAGGUAAUCGGAAUUCCUUGUGUAGCGGUGAAAUGCGUAGAUAUAAGGAAGAACACCAGUGGCGAAGGCGGAUUACUGGACGGUAACUGACGGUGAGGCGCGAAAGCGUGGGGAGCGAACAGGAUUAGAUACCCUGGUAGUCCACGCUGUAAACGAUGGAUACUAGGUGUGCGGGGACUGACCCCCUGCGUGCCGCAGUUAACACAAUAAGUAUCCCACCUGGGGAGUA